GACGAACGCUGGCGGCGUGCUUAACACAUGCAAGUCGAACGGAAAGGCCCUGCUUUUGUGGGGUGCUCGAGUGGCGAACGGGUGAGUAACACGUGAGUAACCUGCCCUUGACUUUGGGAUAACUUCAGGAAACUGGGGCUAAUACCGGAUAGGAGCUCCUGCUGCAUGGUGGGGGUUGGAAAGUUUCGGCGGUUGGGGAUGGACUCGCGGCUUAUCAGCUUGUUGGUGGGGUAGUGGCUUACCAAGGCUUUGACGGGUAGCCGGCCUGAGAGGGUGACCGGCCACAUUGGGACUGAGAUACGGCCCAGACUCCUACGGGAGGCAGCAGUAGGGAAUAUUGCACAAUGGGCGGAAGCCUGAUGCAGCAACGCCGCGUGCGGGAUGACGGCCUUCGGGUUGUAAACCGCUUUCGCCUGUGGCGAAGCGUGAGUGACGGUAAUGGGUAAAGAAGCACCGGCUAACUACGUG
rnacentral:rRNA from 1 species